rnacentral:siRNA from 1 species
AGAUGUCCAGCUAAUAAGUGCA